AUCAGGGCGCCUGAAGAAAGGAUCAUUUUGAUGAGAUGAAACAUGUGCAACCCACCCCUGGUU
rnacentral:tRNA from 1 species